GGAUCACAUCGGCUAUAUAUCGAUCAAAAUCGCGGCGUCGUUGUUUAACGUUACCUUUUUUUUAUGCAGAGAGCCCAUUCACCAGUCGCGAGGACAAGGAUCUAUUAGGAAUUAAGUUAGAAUAUCACAGUCAUGGCAUCUUCAUCAGUUGUAAGGGGACCUGCUGGUAACAAUGACUGCAGGAUAUACGUGGGAAACCUUCCACCUGAUAUCCGGGAAAAAGACAUCGAAGACAUGUUCUACAAGUUUGGCUCCAUCGCAGACAUCGACCUGAAGAAUAAGAGACCACCAUCAUUCUCGGGCUCUGGUUCAGAAAGGGAACGAUUCGGAACGCCAUUUGCCUUUGUAGAGUUCCAUGACAGAAGAGAUGCAGAUGAAGCAGUGACCGCACGAGAUGGCUACAACUAUGAUGGAUACAGGAUACGUGUUGAGUUUCCAAGGGGGACCAAAGGCUUCAAGGGCAGUCGUCCAAGGGGACCACCACCAAGGAGAUCAUCAUAUCGCUGCAUGGUGCAAGGUCUGCCUUCAACAGGUAGUUGGCAAGAUCUCAAGGAUCACAUGCGGGAGGCAGGCGAUGUAUGCUAUGCUGAUGUUUACAGAGAUGGAACAGGUGUUGUGGAGUUUCUCAGACCGGAGGAUAUGAAGUAUGCCGUCAAACAGCUAGACGAUACCAAGUUCAGAUCACAUGAGGGAGAUGUCUCUUACAUCCGGGUAAAGGUUGAUCCUACCAGUGGAAGUGGGCGCUCAAGAAGUCGUUCUCCUCUGAGCCCGUACCGUAGUGGUCGUGGAGGUGGAGGUGGAGGUGGAGGUGGAGGUGGUAGCUACCGUUCCCGCAGUCGAUCCCGCAGUCCACAAUGGGGCCAUGGCAAAAAAAACCGCCACCACCGAUCCCGUACCAGGUCCUUUUCUCGUUCCAGAUCCCCCAGCUCCAGGUCUCGCUCAAGAUCGCGAUCCAGGUCCCGCUCAUAGUUCCAUGGUCAACCUACGUUCCUUCUGUCAGCCUCUGCCUACUGUGUUCUGCAAGGCAUUGCUGCUUGGGAGGUUGCAUUGCUUUCAUGAAGCCAUAAAACCUGUGUAUGUUUCAAUGACUGUAAAUAACUUUUUUGUAGUUCUAGAAAUCUGUAUUUUUCAUUCUGGAUACAAUUUAUGAUUUGGGUUACCCCCAGGUUUUAUCUUAUGACAUGGUUUUAUUGGAAAGGAUGUGAAUAGUUAAUGGUCUUUUCAUAAGGAUAUUAUUCAUGCAUGUCCAUCAAUACCACCCACCCUUAUAAUCAAUUAGUCAAUUUAAUACUCAGUAAUUCUUUAUUGCCAAUAGGUAUUAUAGCUGGUGAUUUGAAAAUGUUUCCCUAGGGAAAUGCGUAUUAAUCUCUUCUUUGGAUGACCUGGUGCCCAUUUCCUGAAGAGUUACAACUAUUGUUACUUUGUGUUAUGACAACUGCCAUGGCAAUCCUUGGUUUUGAUUGGCUAUAGAUCCAUGUGUCCGUGGUAGUUGCCUUAAUGGCAAAGUUACAAUAGCUGUAAUACCAAGUGAAACAGGCCCCUUGAAGGGACUUAAAAUGAUUCUUAAUUUAUUUUACCCUUGCAUUUUUUUCCAACUUUGCAUGAUAUGCGAUAAAGUUCAAUCUUUUGUACUUCAGUGUACAUUUUACAGUGGGUCUUGUUGAUAAAUGUACACUUAACCCUAUAGGGAGUGUUUUAGAAGCACCAUCCGAUAUGAUUUUAAUUGUGUAAUCGCUGUAUAUAGUGGAUCAAAUGUGAAAAUUCAUUACAUUGUGUACAUAGGUAUCCACCACUAAUUAUUGACGUUGGAAUAAAAUGGAUAUAUCUUAUGUUAAUAGCAAUUAACUUUAUUACACUACUGAUCCGUCUGACCCCUUACCAUUACAGCUUAUACAAGCAUUCUCUCUUCUAUAUCUAUCCUUUUCCUUGUUAUGUUCUCUCAAUGCUCUUCUCUUCCUCUUUAUACCCCUCCCCCCUUAUUGCUUUCACCACCUUCUGCUUUCUCAAUCUUUUACUAUUCACCCCAGUUUCCUCCCUCUCUCCACACCUCUUCAUCUGCUCUCUCUUUUGUAAUUCACAUAAUUUUGAUAUGCUAGCAUAUAUUUUGUUUUAAAUAUCAUAAUCAUUGACAAUCUUAUUGAACAAAUGACUUUGUAGACAGUAUACAACCAUUCGUUUCAGAAAUAAGAUGUAUAAAGAAUGAGUUUAUGUAGUUUAAGUUUGCUCCAAAUUUGCAUGCUCUUACAACUUAUAAUUCAAUGCAAUGUUUUUAAUCUAUUAGGGCAAAGUAGAGUCAUGUCAUAUUGGUUCUAUGUAUGAGAAUAUUAUAAUUUGAAUGCAUAUAAUCCAAAUAGCCAUCCAUUAGCAGUUAUAAGUCAAAUAACUUUUGCUAUCAAUUGGUAUAUGUGUGUUAACAUUGAUUCUUGUGACUUUUUGUGUUGACCUCCCAGAUUGGCCCCUCCUGGAGGCAUUCAGGAAGGAAGAUCAUAAAAUCAGGAAUUAAUGAGGAGUUGGAUUUGUGAGGAUCAAAAAAAAGAGAAAAAGGCACAGAUCCAUGCAAUGAAUUCAUUAUCCGGGAAUAGUUUUCACGAUCGCAAUCUGGGAGUUGGACAUUCCUUGCUCCAUGGAUCAGAAAUAGUGUCAUGGAUUCAGGGAAUGCAUUCACAAUCCGGACUAGUUUUCAGGAGCAAAAAUUAGGAUCAGAGGAAAUUAGGCUUUGGGGAUUCAAAUAUGAUCAGGAUCUGGAGAAAUCAGGAUCAAAAGGAAGGAAUCAUUCCAGGAUCAAAUUUUUUAAAGGUAUUCAGGGAUCAAAGGAAGGAUCAGAUCGGAUCGCACACCAAGGGGUCCUGUGAUCCGGAGGUUUUUGAGGGAUCAGGUCAGGUGUGGAUCGGAUCAGAAUGAAAGCACAGGUAGAAGUCCGAUGAGCAUGGUCUUUGGUCUGAUGGAUCAUGGAUCAUUCUUAAUGAGAAAAAAAUAAAGAAUAUGGGAAAGGAAUCAAAAUUUUGAUGGAGCCUUUGAUCUCAGAAGAGAGUCAUUUACCUAUUUGGGGAUCAAAUCAGAGUUUGGAUCAUUUCAUAAGGAAAGGAUCAUUUGACGGUGUUGGAACAUUGGAAUGACUAGAUUCAGAAGACGGAGAUUAGGAACACAAUUGAAACGGACAAAAAGGAGGAACAUGUAAAAAAAAAGGGGGGGUACAUGUAUACUCGUUGCCGAAAGCCCAUUUUAAACAAAAAUGAUUCUGUUUGAUGCUAUGAUAGCUUGGGAAAUGGAUUUAAUGUUCCAUUACCAUAAAUUCCCCCCUCCCCUCCCCCCCCCCCCCCCAUUUCAGAUGGGUAUGAUUACACAAUAAAAGUUUCUCAAUUAAAAAAGGGGUGGGGGAGAAUGAUUAUGCAAUUUCUUAAACAAGCAAAAUAGAAAAGUGGUUGUCCCUUAGAAAAAGGAAUCAUGUGCCAGAAAUUCCUCCACGGAAUUAAACAUUGCAUACUGGAAGAAACUGCAUGCUCAUGAAAUUUACAUGUACACCCAGGCUAAUGUGAGUGGAGCUGGGAAGAAUGAUUAAAUUACUGAUCAAUCUUCGUUUCGUCGCAAUUUAAAAAGUUGAUAGCAUUCUUGUUCGUUUUUUCAUGUCAUUUCCAAUUUUCAUCUGGCUUUACUAAUACUAUCCCAUUAUUACAGAAUACUACAUUAUCUCUGUCAUAGGCAUUUAUCUGGGGUUUUUUGUGGGGGGUGUAUUUUUUUUACAGUGUUUUUAUUCUCUGUUUAACCUCUAGAUGAAAUGAUUUAUUUCUUAUUGCAGGUUCAUUUUGUUCCUAUCUUUACCAUGUUCAUAUCCAAUGCAUGGUUUCUUCAGUUAACCACCCCACCCUCUUUACAAAAGCGAGGUGUUUCUCUUUUCUCUUUUGAAUCUCGCUCUAUUUACUCCUAUUCCUCAUCUUCUUGAGAUCUCUUCUACCAUUUUCUCUUUUCACCCAUUCCUGUUUCUUGUUUUUACUUUCUCACGUUUUAUUUCCUCCCUCUGCUUUUCCACUCUAUUUGAGUUACAAUAAAAUAAAAAACAAUGAUUCUUGAUAAA